AGAGAGCUUGCUCUCGGGUGACGAGCGGCGGACGGGUGAGUAAUGUCUGGGAAACUGCCUGAUGGAGGGGGAUAACUACUGGAAACGGUAGCUAAUACCGCAUAAUGUCGCAAGACCAAAGAGGGGGACCUUCGGGCCUCUUGCCAUCAGAUGUGCCCAGAUGGGAUUAGCUAGUAGGUGGGGUAAUGGCUCACCUAGGCGACGAUCCCUAGCUGGUCUGAGAGGAUGACCAGCCACACUGGAACUGAGACACGGUCCAGACUCCUACGGGAGGCAGCAGUGGGGAAUAUUGCACAAUGGGCGCAAGCCUGAUGCAGCCAUGCCGCGUGUAUGAAGAAGGCCUUCGGGUUGUAAAGUACUUUCAGCGAGGAGGAAGGCAUUGUGGUUAAUAACCACAGUGAUUGACGUUACUCGCAGAAGAAGCACCGGCUAACUCCGUGCCAGCAGCCGCGGUAAUACGGAGGGUGCAAGCGUUAAUCGGAAUUACUGGGCGUAAAGCGCACGCAGGCGGUCUGUCAAGUCGGAUGUGAAAUCCCCGGGCUCAACCUGGGAACUGCAUUCGAAACUGGCAGGCUAGAGUCUUGUAGAGGGGGGUAGAAUUCCAGGUG
rnacentral:rRNA from 1 species